UACGUAGGGUCCGAGCGUUUGUCCGGAAUUAUUGGGCGUAAAGAGCUCGUAGGUGGUUUGUCGCGUUGUUCGUGAAAACUCACAGCUCAACUGUGGGCGUGCGGGCGAUACGGGCAGACUUGAGUACUGCAGGGGAGAACGGAAUUCCUGGUGUAGCGGUGAAAUGCGCAGAUAUCGGGAGGAACACCAAUGGCGAAGGCAGCUCGCUGGGACGUUACUGACGCUGAGGCGCGAAAGCGUGGGGAGCAAACAGGG
rnacentral:rRNA from 1 species